GCGAGUAUGAACAAGCAGGGAAUGCUGGACUCCUACUAGGCUGUCUAUCUAGCUAAGAUGAUUAUGAUUCAAGGAGGAAGUACAAAAUGGUAUUAAGGCUCUCUUCCUCCACCCUUAAAAAUGUGGGUGAAGAUAAGCUACAUUUUCCCAGAAUCUGCUCAAAACAAGACAAAAGCAAUGUACUGAGCCAGGUGAGGAAGAAAGGCAGUGCACCCCACAGACAAGACUGCCCUGGUUGUACGGUGCUACAACAUGAUCUCAGUUGCUGUUAAAUAAGUUUCGCAAGAAACUGAAGAAUGGAAAGACAAGAGAUGUGCAGCUGUGUUAUCAUGGAUUUCCAGUGAACAAGGGCCACAAAAAUCCAUCUAUUUUCAUCAUCCCCAGAGCACCAGGACUACAACAAUAAGAACAGCUCUAUGGAAAUGAUGAGGAACAAGUUUCAGAGAACAGAAGGAAUUUGUCUUGGGCUGCACAGUCACUAAGGAGAGAGCAGGCACCCAAACUGUGCCAUUCCCUGUCCUCUUGGGAGCUAUACUCUUCUGUAUCCCUGCUUCUGUUCAACGUAUCUGGCUCAAGAGACAUUUACAAAGGAAGGAAACACUCGUUGUAUGAAAAACAAACAUGAUAUAAACCUGUUUCGUUAGCUUUCAAGACUACCCUACCCAGGGGUGGCUACCCUAAAGAGAAUAGCAAAGUUGAUAAGAGAAAGAAUGAUAAAACUAUCAGAUUUCUCCCUAUCACAUUUUUCAAAAUAUUUCACCACAUCUGAAGAGGUAUUUUUCAUUCAUUUUCUGUAAGAUAGUAGAAAUGAAAGUGGUCUAAAACGCUAAAUAAAAGGGAUAUUGUUUGUAUUUAUUACUUCUUGAAUGCAGUGUAUAUUUAGAACUCAGAACAAUGGUUGUAUUUAGCCUAUACACUCCUUUUAAGAAAUUCACCCCAUGUAUGUGGGCAGCCUUAGAUCCUAGAUUCAUCACAGCUUCUAUUUGUGAACCAUUAGUUUGUAUCCCUCUUUUGACAACCACCUUGGAAAAUAAUUUCUCUCUCAUGCAAACCUGUCCCACCUUAUUGAAGGCCCACUGUAGCCUUUACAACUUAAAACAGUUCUCUGUACUGAAGUAGUCAUGUUACUAACUGCACGAAUGACACUAGCAAGUUAAAACAACGUGAAUUCUUAAUGUAUGUCGGAUUUAAAAUUCUUUUGAUCCCCGAUUUGUUGUGCUCAGCAUUGUAGUCUGUGCAAAGCAAAGUUAUUAGCUGAGAAAAUUAAGAUGUUUGAGUAUUCUAUAUUUCUA
rnacentral:lncRNA from 1 species